rnacentral:misc_RNA from 1 species
GUGAAUCAUCGAAUUUUUGAACGCAAAUUGCACUCCCUGGUAUUCCGGGGAGUAUGCCUGUUUGAGGGUCGUUAGAACAAAAAUCGAAGCGACUCUCUUUUUUUUUAAGGGUUUUGGCGUCGGAAUUGAGCCGUCUUUCAAAUGUAAAUUCAUGUCAAAGUGGCUUGAAAUUUAUCCGUCCGUAACGAUGAAAGCGUAUUUAAGCACAACUGUGA